rnacentral:rRNA from 1 species
GGGUUGUGAGGUUAAGCGACUAAGCGUACACGGUGGAUGCCCUGGCAGUCAGAGGCGAUGAAGGACGUGCUAAUCUGCGAUAAGCGUCGGUAAGGUGAUAUGAACCGUUAUAACCGGCGAUUUCCGAAUGGGGAAACCCAGUGUGAUUCGUCACACUAUCAUUAACUGAAUCCAUAGGUUAAUGAGGCGAACCGGGGGAACUGAAACAUCUAAGUACCCCGAGGAAAAGAAAUCAACCGAGAUUCCCCCAGUAGCGGCGAGCGAACGGGGAGCAGCCCAGAGCCUGAAUCAGUGUGUGUGUUAGUGGAAGCGUCUGGAAAGGCGUGCGAUACAGGGUGACAGCCCCGUACACAAAAAUGCACAUAUUGUGAGCUCGAUGAGUAGGGCGGGACACGUGGUAUCCUGUCUGAAUAUGGGGGGACCAUCCUCCAAGGCUAAAUACUCCUGACUGACCGAUAGUGAACCAGUACCGUGAGGGAAAGGCGAAAAGAACCCCGGCGAGGGGAGUGAAAAAGAACCUGAAACCGUGUACGUACAAGCAGUGGGAGCACGCUUAGGCGUGUGACUGCGUACCUUUUGUAUAAUGGGUCAGCGACUUAUAUUCUGUAGCAAGGUUAACCGAAUAGGGGAGCCGAAGGGAAACCGAGUCUUAACUGGGCGUUAAGUUGCAGGGUAUAGACCCGAAACCCGGUGAUCUAGCCAUGGGCAGGUUGAAGGUUGGGUAACACUAACUGGAGGACCGAACCGACUAAUGUUGAAAAAUUAGCGGAUGACUUGUGGCUGGGGGUGAAAGGCCAAUCAAACCGGGAGAUAGCUGGUUCUCCCCGAAAGCUAUUUAGGUAGCGCCUCGUGAAUUCAUCUCCGGGGGUAGAGCACUGUUUCGGCAAGGGGGUCAUCCCGACUUACCAACCCGAUGCAAACUGCGAAUACCGGAGAAUGUUAUCACGGGAGACACACGGCGGGUGCUAACGUCCGUCGUGAAGAGGGAAACAACCCAGACCGCCAGCUAAGGUCCCA